rnacentral:lncRNA from 10 species
GCAGGAUGAUAUUUUCAGGUGCAUAUCUGAAAAUUAAGCAGAAGGCCGUGUAUGAUGAAGGUAAAAUGGGUUCUGAGCAUCGGCUUGACUCCACAAUGAAUGGCCAGAUCACCUUGGACAAAUCAGAUGAAUACUGCUUAUUUUUUUUAAGGACAGAAAAACCCUGCUUUUCUGCCUCAGUGUGAAGCAUGCACUGAAUAUCCUCUAUGUGUAAAUGGAAAGCACUGGGAUUGAAGCUGGGGAGUAGAGGUCUGCUUGGAGAGUUGUGCCAUGUGCCUGCUGCAGGCUCAUCCCUGCUGGUUUUAACUGUGCUGACACCGGGCAGUGGAACAUAUUUCUCCCCUCCUCUCAGUGGCUGUGGAUGACUGUCUUUAGGAUUAGUUCUUGUAAGUUGUUAUUGUAAGAAUGUUUCACAAAAGGGCAGUGUUCCAUGUCCCUAAGUCAUCUUCAGCUUACACACCAUCAGCACGUUAACCCAGCCUUUUGUAUCUCUUAUGUCUCCUGUACUUUGUUUAGUAUGGAAGCCACAGCAAUGAACAAGACACAAUCCUGGACCCCAUGAGCUCACAGAACAACUUAUGAAAUUUUCUGUCUCACCUCUGAAGCCCUAGAGAAGUGCUACACUGCUUGCAGUCUGGUGCUGCCCAAUUUAUGAACUGCUGUCUGUUCAAAUAAACUCCACAGAAUUUUAAUGUGCCUAAGUUGAUCUUUUAACAACAGAAAUGCCCAAACCUCAGGAAAACAAGGAUGGCUCACCCUAGAUAGCCAAGCAGGGCAUGAGACGACGUCCUGUGCAUGGGAGUCACCUAGCUGGUGAGUGAGCAGCUGGAUGUAGACCGUGCAUGCCAGAUUUUGUUUAAGGCUCUCCCAUGUGGGUGUGCAGCACAUGCACUGAUAUGAGCCACAUGGCCUCUUCCUGCCUGCAAAGCUUCCACUUGACACAUUUGCUGGCACUGAGCCAUCCUUGCAUUCCUGAGAUAAACCUUACAUGAUUGAGAGCCAUCACUGUGUUAAAAGUAUGGGCACAUGCAUAUUUAUUAGGUAUACAUAGGCAUACUUCUGUACCUGUAAAUGUCUAAUGUCUUAUUUAAUAUUUUCCAUCUGUUCCCAGCAGUCAAUCUGACCUAUAAUUUUCUUUUCUUAUUCUGUCCUUGGCCUGUUUUGUUACCAAGAAUAUAUCAUUCUCAUGUUAGCCAAGUAGCUUUCCCCUCUUUUGUAUUCCCUGGCACAUACUCACUCACUCUUUCUCUCUCUCUCUCUCAAGGAAAGAGAGAUCUAGUUAUUUAAAAUUAUGGAUUUAUUUACUGGUAGUAAGUUUAUUUGCAUUCUCACUGAAUUGUUCAAUUUUAUUUUUUAGACAAAUUGUCCUUUUUAUCUAGCUUUUUAAAUUUUACAUCAUAAAAUUGCUCAUUGUGUUAUAUUUUUUCAAAAAAUUAUAUUUCUAAUAGGCUUUAAAUUUUUUUUCUGAUUUGGUGAGUUUUGAUAGAGAUUGUCUAUUUUUAACUAACUAGCAUUUUGUUUUCUAUUUUGAUUAUUUUUUAUUUUAUAUUUAUCAUUUUCUUUCUCUUAUUUUAUUUAGCGUACUCUGUUCUUUUUCUAGCUCAUUUUGCUAUGUAAGUCAUUUAUUUUUAUUUUCCUUGUCAUUUUCCAAUAAAUACAUGUAUGAACUUUUAAGGUUGCAAUCUAAGUUGCAUUUUAGCUGUCUUCCUACAAAUACUGAUAUAAGUUCAUUUUAUAUUAAUUCCAAGUAUUUUACAAUAUUCAUUGCGGCACUGUUAAGUUAUGAAUUAUGGAGAAGAGUACUGUAUUGGUCAAUUUUCAUGCUGCUGAUAAAGACAUACCCAAGACUGGGCAAUUUACAAAAGAAAGAGACUUAUUGGACUUACGGUUCCAUGUAGCUGGGGAGGCCUCACAAUCAUGGUGGGAGAUGAAGGGCAUGUCUCACAUGGCAGCAGACAAGAGAAGAGAGCUUGUACAGGGAAACUCCCAUUUUUAAAACCAUCAGAUCUCAUGAGACUCAUUCACUAUCAAGACAACAGAGCAGGAAAGACCCACCCCCAAAAUUCAAUCACCUCCCAACAUGCUCUUUCCAUGACAUGUGGGGAUUGUGGGAGUUACAAUUCAAGAUGAGAUUUGGGUAGGGACACAGCCAAACCAUAUCAAGUGCUUUCUGUUGACAUUUGAUUAUUUUCAAGUAUAUGAGGAUGUUUGUUUAUAUUAUUUCUAACUCAACUGCAUUACAUUAUGAGGGAGUAGCCACAUCAUAUUUAUUCUUUAAAAUGUUUGUAAUUGAUUUUGUUACUCUUUGGGUUAUGCUUAAAAAGAGUGUUUAUUCUACACUUGGUAAUACAUAUUUAUCAUAUUACAUUUGUCGUUGUGUUGUUCAAAUCAUCUAUAUCCUCACUAAUUUGUCUGCUUGAGCAAUUCCUUUUCUGAGAAAAUAUACUGAAAUCUAUAAUUGUAGGUUUGUCAAUUUCUCCUUUUUAUUUUAUGAAAUUUAAUGCUAGUUGUAAAAAGCUUAUUAGUUCAUACUUAUUAUGCUCCUGAUUAAUUGGAUUUUUAACCUAUGUAGUGUUUCUUAUCUUUUAUUUUGUAUUUUGCCUUAACUAAAGUUUAUUAAAAUAAAGAUC